AAAAUGUACCGGGGCUAAACAUAUUACCGAAGCUGUGGAUUGUCCUUUGGACAAUGGUAGGAGAGCGUUCUAAGGGCGUUGAAGCAUGAUCGUAAGGACAUGUGGAGCGCUUAGAAGUGAGAAUGCCGGUGUGAGUAGCGAAAGACGGGUGAGAAUCCCGUCCACCGAUUGACUAAGGUUUCCAGAGGAAGGCUCGUCCGCUCUGGGUUAGUCGGGUCCUAAGCUGAGGCCGACAGGCGUAGGCGAUGGAUAACAGGUUGAUAUUCCUGUACCACCUAUAAUCGUUUUAAUCGAUGGGGGGACGCAGUAGGAUAGGCGAAGCGUGCGAUUGGAUUGCACGUCUAAGCAGUAAGGCUGAGUAUUAGGCAAAUCCGGUACUCGUUAAGGCUGAGCUGUGAUGGGGAGAAGACAUUGUGUCUUCGAGUCGUUGAUUUCACACUGCCGAGAAAAGCCUCUAGAUAGAAAAUAGGUGCCCGUACCGCAAACCGACACAGGUAGUCAAGAUGAGAAUUCUAAGGUGAGCGAGCGAACUCUCGUUAAGGAACUCGGCAAAAUGACCCCGUAACUUCGGGAGAAGGGGUGCUCUUUAGGGUUAACGCCCAGAAGAGCCGCAGUGAAUAGGCCCAAGCGACUGUUUAUCAAAAACACAGGUCUCUGCUAAACCGUAAGGUGAUGUAUAGGGGCUGACGCCUGCCCGGUGCUGGAAGGUUAAGAGGAGUGGUUAGCUUCUGCGAAGCUACGAAUCGAAGCCCCAGUAAACGGCGGCCGUAACUAUAACGGUCCUAAGGUAGCGAAAUUCCUUGUCGGGUAAGUUCCGACCCGCACGAAAGGCGUAACGAUUUGGGCACUGUCUCAACGAGAGACUCGGUGAAAUCAUAGUACCUGUGAAGAUGCAGGUUACCCGCGACAGGACGGAAAGACCCCGUGGAGCUUUACUGUAGCCUGAUAUUGAAAUUCGGCACAGCUUGUACAGGAUAGGUAGGAGCCUUUGAAACGUGAGCGCUAGCUUACGUGGAGGCGCUGGUGGGAUACUACCCUAGCUGUGUUGGCUUUCUAACCCGCACCACUUAUCGUGGUGGGAGACAGUGUCA
rnacentral:rRNA from 1 species